rnacentral:rRNA from 1 species
GACGAACGCUGGCGGCGUGCUUAACACAUGCAAGUCGAACGGAAAGGCCCUGCUUUUGUGGGGUGCUCGAGUGGCGAACGGGUGAGUAACACGUGAGUAACCUGCCCUUGACUUUGGGAUAACUUCAGGAAACUGGGGCUAAUACCGGAUAGGAGCUCCUGCUGCAUGGUGGGGGUUGGAAAGUUUCGGCGGUUGGGGAUGGACUCGCGGCUUAUCAGCUUGUUGGUGGGGUAGUGGCUUACCAAGGCUUUGACGGGUAGCCGGCCUGAGAGGGUGACCGGCCAGAUUGGGACUGGGAUACGGCCCAGACUCCUACGGAAGGCAGCAGUGGGGAAUAUUGCACAAUGGGCGGAAGCCUGAUGCAGCAACGCCGCGUGCGGGAUGACGGCCUUCGGGUUGUAAACCGCUUUCGCCUGUGACGAAGCGUGAGUGACGGUAAUGGGUAAAGAAGCACCGGCUAACUACGUG